UCAAAUCUGGAUAAGUCUGAUCAAGCACAUACAUUUAUGAUUGGAAGCACAUGCAUUUAUGAUUGGAAGGUUCAAUUGUGGCUCACAUUUUUACAACGAAUCUUUCACGAUAUGAAUUCUUUGGAGAGAUAAGAAGUAUUGUAAGACGGAGUAUUUAAGAGAUGGAUGGAUAACAGAACACUGCACACUCAUGGAAGCAAUUGGCCAGUGACUGCAGACGGUCACUUGCAAACAUGUCCUAAAUAUCCACAUGCCCAUCAUUUCAUUUGUUCCCAGUUAAAUCUGAGACUGCAGUUUGCAAGAUCCAAGAUUGGAGUAAAGCUUUAACACACCUUAGGCCCGUAGCUCAGGUCGUCGUCAAUGGGCGUCACACCAUGGGGCGAUUUAGAUAUUAUGCGGAUGAAGUGCCUGCCACUCUGCCAGCAAGUAAAGCCAAGAGAUCAACAGGUAGUUAUUUAACAGGAGACUUGACAGCUGAUACUAAUCGAAAGCCAAAACUUCUAUAUGGUUAAAACCUCAGUAUAAAAAGGACAAUGUAAAAAUAUUAUGAUAACAGGUAGGACGGCCAUGUGUAUCACGCAUUCACACCCAUGAAAACCGCAAAGUGAUCCUACAAUGAAUAUUUUGGCAGCAUAUCCCAAAACUUUGCUCAGGUCCACAAAUGGUUCAUUUCAAUGCCAACAUGAACUUGACAACUUGAGCUUCAUACGAGUAAAAAUUAUGAUUCCUUGUCAGCUCCUAUCAACAUGGCAACAAGAAUUAGUAUAUUGAGAAGGCUGAGACAGGAAUUACUGCAUCGAUCUCUUAGAUUCAAAUUUACACUCUUAAAACAGGAUAAACACCUCUGCAAUUCUCGACUAAAGAAAGGGCAACUUACUGUGUGUUGCCCAAGUGAAUGAGCUAGUUGACGCCUUGGGGCUCGGUCUUCCUUAAAUGAUAACCAAAUGAAAUAUCCACUUGCAUAAUUGCAUUAACAUACAAGAAAUAGCCGGUACCCACAGCCACACCGACAUCACCAACCUCCCUUGCCCCCUUCUAUAAACACUCAUCUCCACCGCUGAGCUCCUCCCUAUCGAUUGCAACUGCAACACACACACCCCAUCAUCACCACUACCACCAACAAAGAGACUUUUGCCAGUGAUAACAGUAUCGCAAGAUGCUGGGAGGGCUCAAGGACAAGCUGACAGGGAAAAAUGCAAAUAAGAUCAAAGGCACGGCUGUGCUGAUGAGCCGAAAAAUACUGGACCCAAGGGACUUCACUGCCUCACUCUUCGACAACAUCCAAGAGCUCGUUGGCAACAGCAUCACCUGCCAACUUGUCAGUGCCACUGUCACCGAUCCAAGUACCACUCUAUUUCUCCUUACUUACUUUACUCAAGCCUGUGCAUAUUUGCUAUGUAGAAAGAAUUGACGGUCAGCACAGAUUGAAGGAAACGAGCUGCAAAGCACCAGUGACACAAAUAAAGUGACUAACCUAAUGUCUGUUGAAUGUAUACUUUCUGCAGACAAUGGGGGCAGGGGCAUUGUUGGAUCAGAGGCAAAGAUGGAGCAAGGGUUGUCAAACUUACCAUCGCUAACACAUGCAGAAUCCAACUUCAAGGUAAGGUUCGACUGGGACAUGGACAAGCAUGGUGUGCCAGGAGCCAUCAUUGUCAAGAACCACCACAGCACCAAGUUUUUCCUCAAGACCAUCAUCCUCAACGAUGUCCCUGGCUGUGGCACUAUUGUGUUUGUUGCCAACUCCUGGAUCUACCCUCUUGAAAAGUACCACUACAACCGUAUCUUCUUUGCAAACAAUGUAAGUAAGUUUGUUCUUGGCAAAUCUUCUUACAAUCGUAUCUUCUUUGCAAACAAUAUAAAUCUGUUCUCAGCAAAUCUUCUUACCUGUUUAAGAUAAUUGUGGGUAAUUUAUCACCCUGCAAAUACAUAGUUUAAAUGAUAGCGAAGGACUAUGUUAUAUUCAAUUAAUCAUCCCAAUCAUUGGUCAGUAAAAAUGUCCAUAAUUAAGCCCCUAAACUGCAUGCAGAACAGCCAAAGUGAAGCGGUAAUAGGCAUCAACAGUUUACGAAAUUACAAACAUAAAAAAUAAUGAGUAGACAAAAACGGAAGUUUGUGACAACCACAAGAAUGCGUCGGAUGCAUCUAUCAUGCAGUUUAAAAGUCUGUGAUGCAAAGUAAGACCUUCGUCCGUUCUGGAAUUUGGAUAUUAGUAAUUCAUAUAUUUUUGCCUUUAAUUCCAUGCAGUCCUACCUGCCCAGUCAAAUGCCAAAGGCACUGAGUCCAUACCGUGAGGAUGAACUCCGGUACCUCAGAGGGGAAGAUAGGCAAGGGCCAUAUCAAGAGCAUGACCGCAUAUACCGCUAUGACGUCUACAAUGACCUCGGUGAGCCUGACCGGGACAACCCACGCCCUGUUCUAGGCGGCUCACAGAAGCACCCGUACCCGCGCCGUGGUCGCACUGGCAGGAGUCCAACUAAAAAGGGUACGGUGUUCCUCUUGGCUCUCUGCAUCUAGAGAUCGCUUCUUAAUAGAUCUAACCUCCAUGAAUGCACAUGGCUGCAGAUCCAAACUCAGAAAGCAGAUUAUCCUUGCUGGACCAAAUCUACUUGCCAAGCGACGAGCGCUUCGCGCGCCUCAAGAUGUCGGACUUUGCUGGGCACUCACUCAAGGCCAUUGUUCAGGGAAUCUUGCCUGCCAUCCGCACAUAUGUUGAUCUCACGCCUGGUGAGUUUGACUCGUUCGAGGACAUUAUGAAGCUCUACAAGGGUGGCCUGAAGCUGCCCAACAUCCCAGCACUAGAGGAGCUGCGCAAGAACUUCCCGGUCCAGCUUAUCAAGGACCUGCUCCCAGUUGGAGGCAGCUACCUGCACAAACUCCCCAAACCUGAUAUUAUCAAAGGUGCUGUGAUUAGCCAUGUGUCAAUUACUGUAGUCAAUGGGCAGUGGGCUUAUUUUUGAACUAUUGUACUAUGCAUUUUUGCAGAGAAUGAGGUUGCUUGGAGGACGGAUGAGGAGUUUGCACGAGAGAUUCUUGCUGGUCUGAACCCCAUGGUCAUCAGGCGUCUCACGGUGAACUAUCCAACACUACACAGUUUUUGAUGGUUUGUUGCUCCUGGCAAGCAUGACAAACAAGUUUGAUGCGACUGUAUCAUUCUCUGUUCACAGGAAUUUCCACCAAAAAGUACUCUUGAUCCUAGCAAGUAUGGUGACCAGACUAGCACAAUCACCCCAGCUCACAUUGAGAAGAACCUCGAAGGCCUUAGCGUGCAACAGGUUAGACAGUGAUCCAUUUCAUUUAAAGUACCAUGAAUAGUCAUUUAACAAGCCACCAUUAAUUGAUUUGCUGUCAAUCAUGACUCAACACAGGCAUUGGAUAACAACAGGCUCUACAUUCUGGAUCAUCAUGAUAAUUUCAUGCCAUUCCUCAUUGAAAUUAACAGCCUAGAUGGUAUUUUCACCUAUGCCACAAGGACUCUGUUGUUCUUACGUGGUGAUGAUACCCUGAAGCCGCUAGCAAUUGAACUGAGCUUGCCACACAUUGAGGGCAACCUGACAACCGCAAAGAGCAAGGUCUAUACACCUGCAUCGAGUGGCACCGAGUCUUGGGUGUGGCAGCUGGCCAAGGCUUAUGUUGCUGUCAACGACUCUGGUUGGCACCAGCUAAUCAGCCACUGGUACAUAGUGGCAACUGUAGCUCUUUGGUAAAAACAGUAAGCACACCAUUUCAUUGAUGUAACAUGUUGAUGUAAAAUCUUGUAGGCUGAACACACAUGCUGUGAUGGAACCCUUUGUGAUCGCUACCAACCGGCAGCUCAGUGUGGCACACCCCUUGUACAAGAUCCUCCAGCCACACUAUCGCGACACUAUGACAAUCAAUGCAUUGGCACGGCAGACACUCAUCAACGCCGGUGGCAUCUUCGAACAAACUGUCUUUCCUGGCAAACAUGCACUGGCAAUGUCUUCUGCAGUUUACAGGAGCUGGAAUUUCACAGAACAGGGCCUUCCGGAUGAUCUAAUCAAGAGGUAAUCAACCAGCAAGAGCCACCUCAGCAAUAGGAACAACCAAAAACCACGUAACUUUAAAUAACAUGUUACAAUUUUGUAAUGCAGAGGCAUUGCCAUCAAGGACCCAUCCAGCCCAUCCAAGGUGCAGUUGCUGAUCAAGGACUACCCUUAUGCAACAGAUGGCCUGGAGGUCUGGCAAGCGAUUGAGCAGUGGGUCACUGAGUACUGUGCCAUCUACUACCCGAAUGAUGGUGUUCUCCAGGGCGACGUGGAGUUGCAGGCAUGGUGGAAGGAGGUGCGGGAAGUCGGGCAUGGCGAUCUCAAGGAUGCGGAUUGGUGGCCCAAGAUGCAAACCGUGCCCGAGCUCACCAAGGCCUGCACCACAAUCAUCUGGAUAGCAUCAGCACUCCAUGCAGCCGUCAACUUCGGGCAGUACCCUUACGCGGGCUAUCUUCCAAACCGUCCGACUGUGAGCCGGCGGCCAAUGCCUGAUCCUGGUUCCAAGGAGUACACAGAGCUGGAGCAGAACCCAGAGAAGUUCUUCAUCCGCACCAUCACCAGCCAGUUCCAAACAAUCCUCGGCAUCUCGCUCAUCGAGGUUCUAUCACAGCAUUCAUCGGAUGAGAUCUAUCUUGGGCAGCGUGACACGCCUGAGUGGACAUCAGACCUCAAGGCGCUGGAGGCUUUCAAGAGAUUCAGCAGGAAGCUGGUGGAGAUUGAGAGCAAAGUGUUGAGCAUGAACAAGGACCCCCGGCUCAAGAACCGGGUUGGUCCAGCCAACUUCCCCUACACGCUGCUGUUCCCCAACACGUCGGAUAACAAGGGGGCGGCAGCCGGGAUCACAGCCAGGGGCAUCCCCAACAGCAUCUCAAUAUGAGAUUGCUGCAUGUGCCAUGCGUUGGUGUAGGUUUGUGGCUGUGUUAAUUAGGUCCUAGGGUACAAGCAAGGAAGCUACUUAGUACUAUUUGCUAGUGCGCACGAAUAAAGCUUCAAAUGAACAAUAAAGUGACUGUUACGUUUGUUCCAAUUUUAAGCAGUUCCACACAGCAAACUCAAGUGAAGAGGCGAUGCUGCAACAGGAAUGAUUAAUCAUGCAGCCUUACUUCUCUGAUGGGAUGAAUGCUAUCUCACUCAAUCACAAAUUGAUUAUCGUAAAUUUAGCAUAACCAGUAGCGGAAUCAGAAACUAAACACAACGCAGGAUAACAAAGGCGACCAAGUGAGGUUACCGCCAAUUUUCCAUCUAGCUGUAUAUUGCGCCCGCCUAAGUUGUCAAGGCAACCCCCGCAACGGCAUGCCCUCCUUCGGAAGCUCUGGUUACACAUCAAGGCAGCCACUCCACUCUGGAACGCACGAGCCCAUCCAGUCUACCCGCAAGCAGCGAGAGUUUCGGGCGUCUUACUCACUCACUCACUACGUCGAGCUCCGCAUUGCGAAUCUUACAGGGUAUGAGAGGAGAGGGGAGGCCGGGAGGGGAAGCGGAGGAGGGGGUGGUACUGAACCUGAGGAAGCGGAGGGGAGGAGGGAGCCGCCGUGGUCUACGCGCCCAUGCCCCCACGCAAGGCCGCCGCCGCCGCCGCCGCCGCCACCACCGCGGGAUCCUCGGAGAAGCCGAUCGCCGAUCCAACUGGGGCGGUAUUCUCUCGCUCGUAAGCUACGCC
rnacentral:lncRNA from 1 species